CCUACGGGUGGCAGCAGUGAGGAAUAUUGGUCAAUGGGCGCGAGCCUGAACCAGCCAAGUCGCGUGAGGGAAGACGGCCCUACGGGUUGUAAACCUCUUUUGCCGGGGUGCAACGGCCGCCACGUGUGGCGGCACUGAGAGUCCCCGGAGAAAAGGCAUCGGUUAACUCCGUCCCAGCAGCCGCGGUAAUCCGGAGGAUGCGAGCGUUAUCCGGUUUUUUUGGGUUUAAAGGGUGCGUAGGCGGAGCGUUAAGUCAGUGGUCAAAUUGAGGGGCUCAACCCCUGCCCGCCUUUGAAACUGGCGCGCUUGAGUGGAAGAGAAGUAUGCGGAAUGCGUGGUGUAGCGGUGAAAUGCAUAGAUAUCACGCAGAACCCCGAUUGCGAAGGCAGCAUGCCGGCUUCCGACUGACGCUGAAGCACGAAAGCGUGGGGAUCGAACAGGAUUAGAUACCCGAGUAGUC
rnacentral:rRNA from 1 species